rnacentral:rRNA from 1 species
UUAAAGGAAUUGACGGAAGGGCACCACCAGAAGUGGAGCCUGCGGCUUAAUUUGACUCAACACGGGAAAACUCACCAAGCCCGGACACUGGAAGGAUUGACAGAUUGAGAGCUCUUUCUUGAUUCGGUGGGUGGUGGUGCAUGGCCGUUCAUAGUUGGUGGAUUGAUUUGUCUGGUUAAUUCCGAUAACGAACGAGACUCUAGCCUGCUAACUAGGCGAAUCCGGCAUCCUUGGCGCAGCCGGCGAUCCACCAUCUUCUUAGAGGGACUGGCAUCUCCCAGAUGCACGAGACAGAGCAAUAACAGGUCUGUAAUGCCCUUAGAUGUCUUGGGCAGCACGCGCGCUACACUGAAGGGAGAAGUGUGUGUUUUCCUUGCCCGAGAGGGCCGGGUAACCCGCUGAACCCCCUUCGUGCUAGGGAUUGGGGCUUGCAAUUGUUCCCCACGAACGAGGAAUUCCUAGUAAGCGCGAGUCACUAGCUCGCGUUGAUUAUGUCCCUGCCCUUUGUACACACCGCCCGUCGCUACUACCGAUUGAAUGAUUUAGUGAGGUCUUCGGACCAGUGCGCGGCGCUCUUCUCGGGGGCCGAUGUCACCGGAAAGAUGACCGAACUUGAUUAUUUAGAGGAAGUAAAAGUCGUAACAAGGUUUCC